ensembl:lncRNA
GCGUCCUUCCGGGCAAUGUUGCUCCAAUAAAGAAAGUGAAGCAGGCGCCCUGGUCGGCCCCCUGCAGCUUCACUCUUUUACCUCUGGUCGGUCGGGACCUGCAAAGCACUCGUCAGUGUCAGCAGAUUCUACAGAAUACAAAAGUCUUCGUACACAGCUUUCUACAAAACAGUUCUCCUCGUCGCGCGGCCCUACAGGCGCUUAUCCGAGGGCGGCCGAGACGACCACGGAGUCGCCCCGGAGACCCGCCUCAACGUCACCAGGGUCCCCCGUCCCUCCCAGCGCCAGAGUCCACGAAUCACAGGCCCCCGCGCCGUCGUCUCCCACCGCCUCCCUGCGUCUCUCCAGCCGAUCCCUCCCCCCCUGCCCCGCCGCCUCUCCCCUCUGUCCCAACACCCGGGGGUCCCCUCCCCCCACCCACCUCUCCCUUCGCUCCACCUUCACUCUGACGCCGUUGACCUCCGUCGACGUAGCUCUUCUUCCCGAGGUUGACCCGGAGACUCUUCCCCGGCGGCGUCGGCGGGCGUAGAGGGGCCGGCGUCCCGGGCCGCCUCGUCCCUCAGAGGGUCCGCGGACUCGGCCCUCUCACCCGGGCGAUGGCGCUGCACGCACCCCCUGCCCCCUGUCCCCCCGGUUUCAUCCGAUCCAGAGGAGCGCCCCCCCACCGUCACCUCACCGCCAACCGGGGGGCCUCCCUCCCACCUCCCUUCUUCCCCCGAGGUACAAACCCCCAGCCCCAGUCCUCCGAAGCGGUCAUCGCCCUCACCCAUCCCGCCCAGCGGCCUCACAGACCAGGGAGGCAGGCCAGUCGGCCAGGGGGGGCCGGAGGUCAGGCGGCUCGUCCGUGAACCACCCGCCCGCUCCGGCUCCUUUCACACCGGGGACCGCUGCUGAACCCUGGCGGGUCCGUGCGUCCACACCUGAUCCAGAGGCUCCGUUGGUUUCCCGUCCCUCUGAACUCGCGCGCGGGGGCCGAGGUUCGAGCCUUCCAUCCUAUCCAGAUCUACACUGUUUCCAGGACGAUCCCCCGAGCCGUGAUAAUGGCAGACCCGGAGGCUUCAUCCAAACAGACGAGGAGACAUCUGGAACUGGAGACGCCGAGGAUGACAUGUCUAUCGACAGCCUGGGACUGACGCUGCAUGACGGAGCCUCCUCCGAUGAAGACGAGAUGGAGGAGGACGGUGGGGGGUCAGGCGAGUGGCGGUGGAGGGAUGAGGACCUCGUCCGCGCCUCUAACGCAACAUCAGAAGGUUCCCUGGUUCCUGAGGGCUCUGGAUCAGAACAAGAGCCAGACGCAGAGACAGGCGAGGCCGGGUUCCAGUCAAAGCCGUCCAGGGCGCUGCAAGCCUUGGCCCAGACAGCUUCCUCUGGUCAGGAGCGGCGUGGCGGCGGCCUGGAUGGGUUCCUGACUCUGGGUUUGGACCUCCAGUCCACCAGCUACGGCGGUCCUCCGGAACACACAGAGCCCAACGAGGAGAACCAGCGGGACCCAAUGCAGCCGCCGGGCCCAGACACAUUCCACCCAGGGGCAGUGAGCUGGAGGCCCAGUAGUAGUCUGCGAGCCCGUGCCCAGGAACACCUGGUUAGCACCGUGAUGAAGGACAGCCAGAGUCGGCCAACCGGUGUUCAGCAUCGCUCUGCCCCGCCCACUGUGAGAAGAGACAUUUCUACUUACAAGCCAGGAUUAUCAGAUACAAGCGCUCGGCCCGCGUUAAUAAGGAGCGCAGGCCACGGAGCACAAGGCCAGCGGAGGACUAAAGAUCUGACAUGGGGCGGAGUCAGUGAGGAGCAGAAACAGGAGGAAGAGGAAGUGGCGAGAGAUCACCAGAGUGUCUUGUCACUGCCUUGAAGCACGCCGAGUCAGAUAUGGAUGAACCGGCAUGUGGAUGUAUGCAUGUGGGUGUAUGCAUGUGCACACACACACAGUCACACACAGUCACACACACACACACACACACACACACACACACACACACACACACACACACACACACACACACACACACACACACACACACACACAUGCACACGCACACGCACACACACACCUGUCAUUUUUGGGGACUACUUUAAAACAAUAGAUAGACUAAUUUGCAUUUAUUUUCGAAACCUUCACUGUCAUGUAGAUAAGUGAGGCUACUGACUGUGCCUUGUAUUCUGUGUAGUCAGCCCUGGCAAUAAGCUAUUAGCUUACCAUUGGCUUUUUAAAAAAAAAUCAGGAAACGGGUGAGACAUUGUGACAUGACUAAGCAUUAAAGAAUCCAAUCUGA